GUUUUAAUAGUUGAAUACAACGGCGGUUUUUCAAGUCGCAGGUUUUGGUGCAAGUCCAGAUUAAAAUA
rnacentral:tRNA from 1 species